rnacentral:rRNA from 1 species
UACGUAGGGUGCAAGCGUUGUCCGGAAUUAUUGGGCGUAAAGAGCUCGUAGGCGGUUUGUCGCGUCGGCUGUGAAAACCUGGGGCUCAACCCCGGGCCUGCAGCCGAUACGGGCAAACUAGAAUUCGGUAGGGGAGACUGGAAUUCCUGGUGUAGCGGUGAAAUGCGCAGAUAUCGGAAGGAACACCAGUGGCGAAAGCGGCCUCCUGGUCCAGCACCGACGUUCAGGCACGAAAGCGUGGGGAGCAAACAGG